AGGCAGCCCCAGCUUACACCAAAAUAGCAUACCAAGCAUAAACAUCAUGUUUGAAAGGGAGCAAGCUGGCAGCCAAAAAUGAGAGUCUUUGUCCCCAAGUUUCAGCACAAACAGCCAAAAUAGAGAACUAUAUAAGCAGCCCCAUCUCCCUUCCCCUCCCCACUUCUUUAGACACCAAAAAUUCACUCAAAAUCAAGGAGUGCAGCAAGGAAAUGGGAGGAGCAAGAAGGCGAGGAGAGGCAGCGGCGAAGCGGAGGGACAGCCGUAUAAACCAAGGAUAAACCGAGCGAGGUUGAGCAGUGAUGACGGCGGGCGAGGUUGAGCAUAGACGAUGAAGAUCCUUCGAUAGAAUAGUACUUGGAUGCAUCGUGUCUCCGCACACGAUGUCAUCUGCUCUUGACUCUUCCGCUGCAAUGUAAAAGUCGAGAUUUCAUUCUCUUGUACCAUGCACUCUGAUUUUUAUAUAUUCCAAGUUAUUUCAGUUCAA